AUUGAACAUAAGAGUUUGAUCCUGGCUCAGAUUGAACGCUGGCGGCAUGCUUUACACAUGCAAGUCGGACGGCAGCACAGAGAAGCUUGCUUCUUGGGUGGCGAGUGGCGAACGGGUGAGUAACAUAUCGGAACGUACCGAGUAGUGGGGGAUAACUGAUCGAAAGAUCAGCUAAUACCGCAUACGUCUUGAGAGAGAAAGCAGGGGACCUUCGGGCCUUGCGCUAUUCGAGCGGCCGAUAUCUGAUUAGCUAGUUGGUGGGGUAAAGGCCUACCAAGGCGACGAUCAGUAGCGGGUCUGAGAGGAUGAUCCGCCACACUGGGACUGAGACACGGCCCAGACUCCUACGGGAGGCAGCAGUGGGGAAUUUUGGACAAUGGGCGCAAGCCUGAUCCAGCCAUGCCGCGUGUCUGAAGAAGGCCUUCGGGUUGUAAAGGACUUUUGUCAGGGAAGAAAAGGCUGUUGCUAAUAUCAGCGGCUGAUGACGGUACCUGAAGAAUAAGCACCGGCUAACUACGUGCCAGCAGCCGCGGUAAUACGUAGGGUGCGAGCGUUAAUCGGAAUUACUGGGCGUAAAGCGGGCGCAGACGGUUACUUAAGCAGGAUGUGAAAUCCCCGGGCUCAACCCGGGAACUGCGUUCUGAACUGGGUGACUCGAGUGUGUCAGAGGGAGGUAGAAUUCCACGUGUAGCAGUGAAAUGCGUAGAGAUGUGGAGGAAUACCGAUGGCGAAGGCAGCCUCCUGGGACAACACUGACGUUCAUGCCCGAAAGCGUGGGUAGCAAACAGGAUUAGAUACCCUGGUAGUCCACGCCCUAAACGAUGUCAAUUAGCUGUUGGGCAACUUGAUUGCUUAGUAGCGUAGCUAACGCGUGAAAUUGACCGCCUGGGGAGUACGGUCGCAAGAUUAAAACUCAAAGGAAUUGACGGGGACCCGCACAAGCGGUGGAUGAUGUGGAUUAAUUCGAUGCAACGCGAAGAACCUUACCUGGUCUUGACAUGUACGGAAUCCUCCAGAGACGGAGGAGUGCCUUCGGGAGCCGUAACACAGGUGCUGCAUGGCUGUCGUCAGCUCGUGUCGUGAGAUGUUGGGUUAAGUCCCGCAACGAGCGCAACCCUUGUCAUUAGUUGCCAUCAUUCAGUUGGGCACUCUAAUGAGACUGCCGGUGACAAGCCGGAGGAAGGUGGGGAUGACGUCAAGUCCUCAUGGCCCUUAUGACCAGGGCUUCACACGUCAUACAAUGGUCGGUACAGAGGGUAGCCAAGCCGCGAGGCGGAGCCAAUCUCACAAAACCGAUCGUAGUCCGGAUUGCACUCUGCAACUCGAGUGCAUGAAGUCGGAAUCGCUAGUAAUCGCAGGUCAGCAUACUGCGGUGAAUACGUUCCCGGGUCUUGUACACACCGCCCGUCACACCAUGGGAGUGGGGGAUACCAGAAGUAGGUAGGGUAACCGCAAGGAGCCCGCUUACCACGGUAUGCUUCAUGACUGGGGUGAAGUCGUAACAAGGUAGCCGUAGGGGAACCUGCGGCUGGAUCACCUCCUUUCUAG
rnacentral:rRNA from 1 species